CCUACGGGAGGCAGCAGUGAGGAAUAUUGGUCAAUGGUCGGGAGACUGAACCAGCCAAGCCGCGUGAGGGAUGAAGGUACAGAGUAUCGUAAACCUCUUUUGUUAGGGAACAAAGGCGGGGACGUGUCCCCGGAUGAGUGUACCUGAAGAAAAAGCAUCGGCUAACUCCGUGCCAGCAGCCGCGGUAAUACGGAGGAUGCGAGCGUUAUCCGGAUUUAUGGGGUUUAAAGGGUGCGCAGCCGGUCUGUUAAGUCCGCGGUCAAAGCCCGGGGCUCAACCCCGGCCCGCCGUUGAAACUGGCAGUCUCGAGUUGGAGAGAGGUAUGCGGAAUGCGCGGUGUAGCGGUGAAAUGCAUAGAUAUCGCGCAGAACUCCGAUUGCGAAGGCAGCAUGCCGGCUCCACACUGACGCUGAGGCACGAAAGCGUGGGUAUCGAACAGGAUUAGAUACCCGAGUAGUC
rnacentral:rRNA from 1 species